rnacentral:lncRNA from 1 species
AGUGUCCUGUCCUGGACAACUUCUGCCUUUGUGUGUCCUGAGGCCACUGGGCAGGUACUUUGGAGCAGAAAAGUUGGUCUUACCUCUGCUUUCAGGUUUGUAGGCACUCCUGGUGACUGGCUUUCAGUUCUUGGUACAGGCAGAAACCUGAAGGGUCCUGCACCUGAAAGCUCCCAGCAGGCACAGAUGGCACUAGGCAAUUUUCUCUUUGGUCAGGAAUGUGGGCACAAAGUAGUUUUCUCCUCUGAGUUCUCAGAAUCCUCUGCACUUCUGAGGGUCCAGCUCUCUCCCCCAUGGGAUUUGGGUUCAGAGAGCUGUGGGACUGGUUUAGUUCAGUUCUGGGCACAGGCAAGAUGUUGCAUUCUUUUGUUUUAGAAUGAAAUGUCCUAUAGAUAUCUGUUAAAUAAAUUUGGUUCAUAGCUUC